CAGCUUUCAGGGCCAACGCUAAGAUCCGUGGGUGGUAUUUUACCGAGGAUGUUACUUGAAUAUGAGAAACUUUUCCUCACCCCCUUCCCACCGACUCUCCUGUAGUCUGUGUGCUACUUGACACGUGCCCUUGCUGUGGUGUAGCUUUCAAGUUCCUAUGUCUGCAGAAAUAUAUAAAAAAAUGUAUUAUCUGUCAAUCCAUGAGCAGGGGGAGAAAUUGUGCCGGCAAAGCCUCCUUAGAUGCUAUAAAAAGAAAUAUAGUGGCUUCAGCAACCCAGGAGUUCCCAGUCUUCGCAAUAAAUCAUAGCCACUUAGCUCAGACCGCCACAAACCUCUUUCUACUGAUGAGGCACCGUGCGCUGUCACUGCCUGUUUGACUCCCGAGUUGCUGGAUGAAGACCAGAUGAACUCCAAGAGCUGGCCAUUUGCCUUGAACAGCUCAAAAGAAAAGAGCCGGUAAUAUCCACAGAUCUGACAAUCCCAGCGUCAGCAGAAUUGGUUGCUUUUAGGAAGGAAUUUUAACAACGGGGCUGCUUAAACAAAAAGGCGUUCAGAAUUUAGGCUUCUGAAUCACUUGCUGUUACAACUGAAGGAAGCCCAUUUCGAAUGGACACAAAAUCCGAUUUCUGUUGUUUGGCUCUCCAAAAGCUUCAAGUCCAAUUCGAGCAGUAAGACGGGGUAGCUUGAUGUCUUUGGGUGAUUCCCUUAGCCUUGGCCCCCCAGAGCUGAAAUACUGAAACCAGAAGGCAAAUCCAGGAGAGGAAGGAAAAUGCUCUCUAUGGUCGACUGAAGGUGAGGCCAUAAAGCAUCAAGGGGCUCGUGCCAAUGCCACACGCUCAAGACAAUGAAGGGAAUGAGGAACAGGAAAGAGAUAAAUGCAGAGAGCACCUGCAGGUAUAUUGCUCAUUUUCCUGCAGAGAACCAGGCUUGUAGUUCCCUGUUCCGGGACGGACAGAUACCAAGGCACACAUCUAUCCAUCUGCUGAAGCAGUGGCACAUGAGUUCCAAAAAGAAUCCUUACUGA
rnacentral:lncRNA from 12 species